UUCGGAGUGUGCAUGUCUGAAAUUUCGUUUUCGUUUUUGUGGCGUUGUCGAGGACGGCAGGUGUCAGUGUUUUUCGUUGUGGUGAGAACAUGAAUGCAAUAGACGUACAGCAACCAGCAAGCGCGGGAAAAAACACGUAAGCUCAAGUUGUUUUGGUCUUUUGACAAAGCUGUGCUUUAGAAUUUAGCUAGAUAUGGAAUAUUAUCCCUCAUUCAACUGAGCCCUUAUUUGUCUCAUUCUUACCAGAAAUCACCAGAUCCGCACAUAGCAAAUCACACUUCGUUCGGCUUCUUUUGAUCACGAUAUAAAAGCGAACCUUUUUAGCGAAAAGAAGUGUUUCAUACCUUUUACUUUUUAUUUAUUUCCACCGGAUAUAUGAAAUACAAUUUACACAACCCGCGUGUAGCAUUAGCUAAUCUUGGAGAGUAUCAGUAAUAAA